AAUAAAUGUUUUUUGAGGAGCAAAUCAGAAUAUUAGAAUGAUUUCUGAUGGAUCAUGUGACUGGAGUAACGAUGCUAAAAAUUCAGCUUUGAAAUCAGGAAUAAAUUACAUUUUAAAAUAUAUUCAAAUAGAAAGCAGCUAUUUUAAAUAGUAAAAAUAUUUCAAAAAUACAAAAGAUAUUUACAAGAUGAAUACAAUAAUUUUAGACAAAAAUUAAAACAAUUUAUAUUCCAAUUGUAGGCAGUUACAUUUUGAGGUUUAAAUCUUCAAUUAUUCAAAUGCAAUUUUCAACAGAAAAAACAAGUGUUCCAUAAAAUUCAUAGUAAUUAUUGCAUUAUUAUUUUUACAGUUUAUUUUAUGGAUUUGAGGAUAAGAGACAUGAAAUUAUUCUUCUGAUUCAAUAAGUUGACAAUACGCUAGCUGGCAGCUCUCUGAGUGACACUUCUUUUGAAUGAACUAAUGAGAAAAAAAACCUAGAUAAAAUCAAAUAUGUAUUCUUCCUGAAUUAACAAAAAUGAUAAAGCCAUCACUUAUGCGCCAUGAGGUUUGAGACGUAAGCGUCUGCUUCUAAUUAAAAAGACACAAUGAUUAAUUAAAGCUGCAAGCAGCGAUGAACGGGCCCUCGCACCCGGGCUCACCGCCAGCGGGUGGCUUUUGUAAAACAGCGAACGGCGAGAUAUAUGCGUUUAAUGUGGUAAAUAUAAGAGAAAUAUGUCAAAGUCAUUUAUAUGUGCCAAUCUUCCUGCUGCCAGCUGGUGGCGCUAUGACUAUAACUGGAUUUUGGCAUGUAGAUUUCUUCAGUCCAGCACUUUUAUCAAGCAUAUGAAAUUUAGUGCAGAUUGAACAUGGAAUGUUUGAGGUUAAUAUAAGGCAUGAGGUGUCCUAUUGCCAACAGGUGGCGCUAUGAUUAUAACUGAAUAUUGGCCUUUAGAUAUCUUCAGGCCAUGACUCUUUCCAAAUAUUUAAAGUUUGGUGCAGAUUGGACAUUGCAUGUUUAAGUUAGUGUAAAACAAGCCAUUUCUUGUUGCCAGCAGGUGGCGCUAUUAUUAUAGUGGAAUAUUGACCUUCAGAUGUGUUCAGGCCAAGACUCUUUUCGAACAUGUGAAGUUUGGGGAAGAUCGGACAUCUUAUGCCUGAGUUACAACAACUUCUAUUCCCAUGGCGAGACAUCGAACUUUGUCAUGGCGCCAUGGCCACACCCUUUAAUGAAAACUCAAGAUGUUCACAAUUUAACAUCGCAAAGGCCUUUAGAUUAG
ensembl:lncRNA